CCAACAACAACAAGAAGAAGAACAACAAUAACAAC
rnacentral:sRNA from 1 species